rnacentral:lncRNA from 1 species
AAUUUUAGAUUAAUUACUCAUCAUCACUAGUGCAAUAUUCAGUUGACUUCUGGUUCAAGCACUGGAACAGAUCUGAAAUUGCUCUCUAAGAAAUCUUGGAUGACCUGUGUGAGCUCCAUAUUUUCCACUCUGGCCAUAUUUCAACUCGGGGAUUUUACUUCACAUAAUAAAGCAUAUAUUUUAAAAAAUCAUUUCUCUUUCAUUUGUAUGUCCAAUAGCUAGGACAAAGUUUUUCAAGCUUUAUUGUACAAAAAAUCACCAGUAGUCUUAGUUAAAAUGUAGAUUCCUGUAUUCCAUCACGAAGAAGGGGAUUUUCCUGCUCUGCGAUGUAUUUUUGUAUGUAUUUUUAGCAAGCUAUUAAGGGGAAUGAGCCAUACUUGGACAAACUGAUCUUAGAGACCAUGGUUUCCCUUACUUUCAGCCAGUGUAUCUGCCAGACCCUUCCUGUUUCUUUUUCUUGAAUCAGAACAAUUCCAGCAGUGACCAUAGAUUUUUGAAAGUGGGAGUUCUCAGAGGUGGUUUUCAACAAUCAAGAGGAUCAUUUGUUCUAUAUGUAGAUUCCUGGUCCCAGCUCAGAGAUCGUAGGGAGCAGUCUAGGAAUUUAUCUCUUGCCAGCUCCUGUGUGAUUCCUAGAAAUUAUUAAUUUAGGGAAACACAGGCUUAAUGGAUUUGUUAAUUUCUCAAGCUUUUCUGAGCAUAAUCUGAUACUAGCCAUUCUUCCACUGGAGGAAGUUACCAGAAGUCUACCUACCUGUACAAAAUCAUUAGCACUAUGCUCUUUGCUUUCAUGGAGGCUUUGAUAUUAAAAAUAGCCAUGUGUUGAAUGACAUUCUUUGUUCUUUACUGCUUUAGAGUUCACAGCCCAUUACAUUCUCAAUGGUCCUUAUAAAAAGACUUUUGGGACAAACUUUUCCUAACAUUUAGAUUUAAGAAAAAGUUUCUUUUGCCUGAUGAACUGAUAUGCUUUCUUUCCCUAGGUGGGAGAGGUAUAUAAACAUAUCAAACUUUCCUAGGCUGCUGGGAGGUUCAGAGCAAACCUUUGAGUUUAGCUGUUUUAGCUUUCAUCAGUCAGUAUUUUAUGGAUAUUAAAUGCUACCUUCCAUCCUUAUAAAUUGGUAUUUUAAUUUUUUGAAUCUUUAUUUUUUAAGAGAUUUUGAGGAGAGAGAGCACACGCCCAAGCGAGUAGGGGUAGGGGGAGGAGCAGAAGGAGAGGGAUCAACUUUGGGUCCUUCAGUAUAACCUACGGUGCUUUAAAAUAUACAGGUGCUUCAGCCCAAACUCUUUGUCUGCCAAAUGAGUAUCUCUUGGGUUGAGUCUGAAUGUGCGUUAUUUUGAAAAAAGUUGAUUUGGGUAUCUCUGCAAUGGGCAUGCUCUUGCCCUGAAGAAGUUUAGUAAUUGAGAUCAGUAGUUCUUGGUCCUAUGAAAUGCCUAGAAAACUUGUAGUGAUAUAAAAUCUUGAACCCCACUGCAAUUUUACUGAAUCAUAAGCUUUUGGAGGGAGGACAAGAAAUCUGUAUUUCCAAAAAAUUGAAAUUAAAUCUGCUGAUUCAGCUACGUUUGAGAACUUAUAUAAAAUCAAGGGACUUUGGGAGAAAAGUAUUUGUGAAAUAAUUUUUUAAGGGCUAAUAGACCUCAGGCUAACACCUGGGAGGCUGUAGAGAUCUAGAGCAGUAUUUUUUCUAAUUGUUGGUCUGAAGAUGGCUAAAGCAAGGUUUUACAAUGUCACAUCUUCCUUAUUAUCUUU